GACGAACGCUGGCGGCGUGCCUAAUACAUGCAAGUAGAACGCUGAAGAGAGGAGCUUGCUCUUCUUGGAUGAGUUGCGAACGGGUGAGUAACGCGUAGGUAACCCGCCUUGUAGCGGGGGAUAACUAUUGGAAACGAUAGCUAAUACCGCAUAACAAUGGAUGACACAUGUCAUUUAUUUGAAAGGGGCAAUUGCUCCACUACAAGAUGGACCUGCGUUGUAUUAGCUAGUAGGUGAGGUAAUGGCUCACCUGGGCGACGAUACAUAGCCGACCUGAGAGGGUGAUCGGCCACACUGGGACUGAGACACGGCCCAGACUCCUACGGGAGGCAGCAGUAGGGAAUCUUCGGCAAUGGGGGCAACCCUGACCGAGCAACGCCGCGUGAGUGAAGAAGGUUUUCGGAUCGUAAAGCUCUGUUGUAAGUCAAGAACGGGUGUGAGAGUGGAAAGUUCACACUGUGACGGUAGCUUACCAGAAAGGGACGGCUAACUACGUG
rnacentral:rRNA from 1 species